GACAAUUUCAUGUGUUUCCAUUUCAAAAAGGAAUUCUGUCUGUCCAUCUUCCUGUCUAUUUGUACGUUUUCCGUCUGUGUGUCUGUCUGCCUCCCUGCCUACCUGUCUUGGUCUUUUCAGGCUCAUUGGCAGCAGUCAAGUUGGAGAACAUAAUGAUGAGGCUGCCUUGCUGAAAGAUGUUCGUCAGCUGUCUCCACAGCACCAGACCUUCUCCCUUGAGGCUUACCACUCCCUCAUCUUGCACUUCGCGCCCAAGCACACAGGGUUUUCAUACCUUGGGAUGUAUAGCAGGCUUCUCUUAGCGGCGCUGCAUUAUAAUCACAAUGCCAAUCGCGAGACAGCACGGAGAAGUGACGGGACAGAGAAGUACUGCGUGUGAAAAGGUUGCCCUCCUUUUCCCGAACAUGAGCACCUGGAAGUUAAUCAUAGCCUGAUUGGGGAUGCAGGAACAUGACUGGUUGUAAAGGGGGGGACGUUAUUUUUCUAUGUUUAAUUAUCAUGAUAUUUUUCAUUUGUGCAACAGUGAACUUUAUGAUCAAGAUGCAAACUGUUGAGAUAUGCAAUGAAGUGUCUGGUUGAUUAUGAUUUCGUUAUAAAAUAUAAAUGUAAUGUGGUACUUGGGUCGGUGAACCCCCAUGGCAGUUGGUAUCUACCAUUUUGUGUAAUUGGUUGGCUUUAUUUAAGCCCGGUAUUUUCUGCUUUCAAGGGGGUGGAGGCAUAGAGAGACGGCUUGCCGUGAGGCUGGUACACGUUCAGAUUAAGGGAACUUUUCUUGUUUGUUUUGUUUAUCAAAGUAUUUCGUUUUGUGGCCAUUUCACUUUUCAAGCAUGGGAAAUAAAUCAGUUUUUUUCAACUAAUUUAUGCUGCUUGCUGAAUUUUUGCGGCCUACUCAAAGACCUUCAUUGCGUCCUAAACCGCUACGUUCCGAAUUGGAAGUGAGUCGGGAGGCUCAUUUUCACAUGUGGUGGCAGUGGUGGGAUCGUGGCGCCCCCUGGAGCAGUGAAGAGGAAGCCGACGAGAC
rnacentral:lncRNA from 1 species